rnacentral:tRNA from 1 species
GUAGAUAUAGUUUAACAAAAACAUUAGAUUGUGAUUCUAAAAACAGAGGUUGAAACCCCCUUAUCCACC